UCCCCGAGGCACAGAGGAAACACACAGGUAGGGGCACCUCCCUCCUCCCCGACUUCUGCAGUAGUCUUUGACUGGCACGCCUCACCUGUCCUGUGCCCACCGCUGCCUGCUGUCUUUCAGCCAAGAAAGCACCAGAUGGCACUGUCAUCCCCAAUGGCUACUGUGACUUUUGCCUGGGGGGCUCCAAGAAGACUGGAUGUCCUGAGGACCUCAUCUCCUGUGCGGACUGCGGGCGAUCAGGACAUCCCUCGUGUUUACAGUUCACGGUGAACAUGACCGCAGCCGUGCGGACCUACCGCUGGCAGUGUAUCGAAUGCAAGUCCUGCAGCCUGUGUGGCACCUCGGAGAAUGACGACCAGCUGCUGUUCUGUGACGACUGCGAUCGGGGUUACCACAUGUACUGCCUGAGCCCUCCCAUGGCGGAGCCCCCGGAAGGGAGCUGGAGUUGCCACCUCUGUCUCCGGCACUUGAAAGAAAAGGCCUCCGCUUACAUCACCCUGACUUAGACCUGGCUCUGCUUCUCCAGGACCUUUGGGUGGUGCUAUCCUCGGCCUCUUGGAGCUCCUGACUUUUCCCGCCUGGUGUCCCCAGUGGAAGGGAUAGGGUGAAGCCCAGAGAGGGGCCAAGGCGGUCUCCCUCUGCAAGUGGAAUGUUACCCUGAGGGAGGGUGGGUCCAGCAGGGUCCCUCCUGUCCCCCAUCUUCAUUCCUUGACAAGUGGGCACCAGGCUUCUGCUCCCCUCAAAGCCAUACCCCGCCUCUGGGCGGGCAUAGAGGGGUAGUGGAUGCCAGCCAGUGGCACGGAAAAAGCCUUUUUCUAAAGAAAAAGACAAAACGUGAAAAAAAAAAAAGGAAAAAAAAAAAGAAAUUAAUAUAUACAAAGAUUCCUCUAAGCCUGGCUGGGUGGGGGGCCACUGAGUGUCUGCUGGGACCUGACUUUACCAGUUUCCUGAAUGGCCCCUCCCCACCCCAUUUCUGGAGUUGCAAUUGUCUCAACUCCCAUCUGAGGUGGGUACCACACCUUCCUCACAGCCAGGCCAGGUGGGCAUGGUGCCCACACACUGCCCCCUCCCGGUACCCACCGUGGAUACUGCAUGAUGUGAACCAUGGUUUUGAACUCUUCCUGCCCCUCCUUUGAGAGCCCCGCCCUGCGCCCACCCGGUGCCUGCCAGACCUGGGGCUUGCAGCUGGGGGAGGCCGGUGGGGUGAGGCAGGCAGGCAGGCAGCCAGCCCGCUGCAAUGAGAAGAAGCACAGAUUGCAAUGGACUCAGUUGUUUUUUGUUUUUUGUUUUUGUUUUUGUUUUUUUUUCUUUCUUUCUCCCUUCUCAACCCUUUCCUUCCCUACCCAGCCAGGCUGGGCUGCCUCCUUCCCCCCAUCGCUAGCCAUUUUGGGGGUGGCAAGGAGGUGUGGUCGUUUCUCGUGGUUGUGUGUGUUUGUUGUUCGGGUUUUAAAAAAGGGAAAUUGAGACUGCAAGUGGGGGGAGGUGGAGGGUCUGGGGGAGUCUGCCCCCCAACCCAGGAGUACCCCCCUUGCCACCAAGUCUCCUUUAUUGCCUGCCUCUGCUGUGAAUUAACUUGUUCUGUGUAUUAAACUGGGCCGGACCCCUCUGCCCACAAC
rnacentral:lncRNA from 1 species